rnacentral:rRNA from 1 species
UGGGGAAUCUUGCGCAAUGGGGGAAACCCUGACGCAGCGACGCCGCGUGGAGGAUGAAGGCCUUCGGGUCGUAAAGCUCUGUCGGAUGGGAAGAAUCGUGUCGGUACGAACAAUACCGAUGCUUGACGGUACCACCGGAGGAAGCACCGGCUAACUCCGUGCCAGCAGCCGCGGUAAUACGGAGGGUGCAAGCGUUGUUCGGAAUUACUGGGCGUAAAGCGCGUGUAGGCGGUCAGGCAAGUCAGAUGUGAAAGCCUUUCGCUUAACGGAAGAAUUGCAUUUGAAACUACCUGGCUGGAGUUCGGGAGAGGAGGGUGGAAUUCCCGGUGUAGAGGUGAAAUUCGUAGAUAUCGGGAGGAACACCGGUGGCGAAGGCGGCCCUCUGGUCCGAUACUGACGCUGAGACGCGAAAGCGUGGGGAGCAAACAGGAUUAGAUACCCUGGUAGUCCACGCGGUAAACGAUGGGCACUAGGUGUAGGAGGUAUUGACCCCUUCUGUGCCGAAGCUAACGCAUUAAGUGCCCCGCCUGGGGAGUACGGCCGCAAGGCUA